CUGGAUCCAGUCGCUAGAUGUACAUGAAGUCGCUUCACAGUAUUUUUCUUCAUCGAGAGAGACAUGAAUCGCGAAGUUACUGCUAUGGAGGUGGACGAGCAGAAAAAGACAGAUGAGAAGAAAGAGACGGCUAGGAAGAAAGAGACGGACGAGAAGAAAGAGACAGAUGCACAGCCAGCAAAGCGCCGCCGGCAACAAGAAGGUAGAGGAAGAGGUAGAAGAAGAGGGAGAGGAAGAGAGAGAGGAGAGGGAGAGGAAGAGGAGGAGGAAACGAG